CCCUCCUUCUCUUCUCUCUCUCUUAACUUUCUGUUUCUCGCGCACGGCUGCGCUACCCUCUAUUUUGCUCAAGUCUGCCGCCACGCACGACCACCCCUCCGACGAACUUCGUCCGGCCGCCGCCGUCUCCAGUCGCUCGUCGCCGGUUAGCGUUUGCCUCAGGCUUUACGCCGAUUUUCUCUCUCUAGCAUCUUUCGCCGCUGCUGUCUGCUGUUCGUCGCCGGUGCUACAGUUUCAGAGUCUUACUUUUGAAGUUGAUCAAGGAGUCUAAAUGGGGGAGGAGAAGAAGAACAAGGGUAUAAUCCCAUCUAUGAUAAAGAACAAAGAAAAGAGGGCAGAAGUGCACGCGAACCUCAAGCACCAGAAGAAGCUUGAGAAACGCAAGAGGGCUAAGGCUCGUGAUGCUGCUGAGAAGCAAGCUCUUGAACUUGGAGAAGAACUUCCUCCUAGGAAGAUUCCUCGCACCAUUGAGAACACCAGGGAGGUUGAUGAGACUGUUUGCAAACCUGAUGAUGAAGAGCUAUUUGCUGGAAAUGAUGCUGAUGAAUUUAGUUCCAUCAUAAAGCGCGACAUUUUGCCUAAAGUUCUAAUUACUACUUGUCGUUUUAAUUCUACCAUUGGUCCUGCUUUUAUAUCAGAGUUGCUUUCGGUGAUACCAAAUGCACAUUAUUACAAGAGAGGGACUAACGAUUUGAAGAAGAUUAUAGAAUAUGCAAAUGCCAAGGACUUCACUUCUUUGAUGGUUGUCCAUACAAGUAGGAGAAAAUUGGAUGGACUUUUAAUUAUUGGAUUACCUGAGGGACCUACUGCCCAUUUCAAGAUUUCAAAUGUUGUCUUACGUAAGGACAUUAAGAAUCAUGGAAAUCCAACGGGUCAUCAGCCAGAACUUGUAUUGACCAACUUCACAACACGCCUUGGUCUUCGUGUUGGAAGAUUAAUACAAUCACUAUUCCCUCAAGAUCCCAAUUUUCGCGGUCGCCGGGUUGUAACUUUUCAUAACCAACGAGAUUUUAUAUUUUUUCGGCAUCACCGAUACAUUUUUGAAAGCAAGGAAAAUAAAAAAGAGGCUGACUCAAAAAAGAAGUCCAAGGAUACCAAGGGUGAGAAAGUUCCUCAGCAGAAAGUGAUUGCUCGUCUUCAGGAAUGUGGUCCUCGGUUCACAAUGAAAUUGAUUAGUUUGCAGCAUGGAACUUUCGAUUCGAAAGGCGGGGAAUAUGAAUGGGUUCAUAAGCCUGAAAUGGAUACAAGCCGCAGAAGAUUUUUCUUGUGACAUUCUUUGGUAUUUCAUUACUCUGGUCGUGGGGAGUUAAAAAUUGUUCAGCUCUAAUUUAUAUAAUAUUUUGGGUGGAAUGGUGGAGUGCCGAUCAAUUUCAAAUCUCCAUUUCAGCCUUCAUGUAUGUUAGAAGUUGAUUUCUUUUUGCACUAUUCAAAAUUUUGUAGCAUUUGCUGAGUUUGUUCCAUAGGUAUCAAUCAAUCUAGUAGCUGGCAAUUCAAAAGAGAAAGCCAUAAUAUUUAUUUCUCUUAUUUAGGGGGGUGCAAGGGUUGAUUCAUUAACUUAGAGAAUGCAAAUUUGGGAUGCUAAACUUGAAAGCUUCGAGUUGAAAUAUUUUACAAGUUUAUAAACUUAUUAAAAAAAACUCAACUCAAUUAAAAGUCCUAACAUAUAGUUUAAUUGAA